rnacentral:rRNA from 1 species
UACGAAGGGGGCUAGCGUUGCUCGGAAUCACUGGGCGUAAAGCGCACGUAGGCGGAUUGUUAAGUCAGGGGUGAAAUCCUGGAGCUCAACUCCAGAACUGCCUUUGAUACUGGCGAUCUCGAGUCCGGGAGAGGUGAGUGGAACUGCGAGUGUAGAGGUGAAAUUCGUAGAUAUUCGCAAGAACACCAGUGGCGAAGGCGGCUCACUGGCCCGGUACUGACGCUGAGGCACGAAGGCCAGGGGAGCAAACGGG